CACAUGCAAGUCGAGCGGCAGCGGGUCCUUCGGGAUGCCGGCGAGCGGCGGAUGGGUGAGUAAUGCCUAGGAAUCUGCCUGAUAGUGGGGGAUAACGUUCGGAAACGGACGCUAAUACCGCAUACGUCCUACGGGAGAAAGCGGGGGAUCUUCGGACCUCGCGCUAUCAGAUGAGCCUAGGUCGGAUUAGCUAGUUGGUGAGGUAAUGGCUCACCAAGGCGACGAUCCGUAACUGGUCUGAGAGGAUGAUCAGUCACACUGGAACUGAGACACGGUCCAGACUCCUACGGGAGGCAGCAGUGGGGAAUAUUGGACAAUGGGCGAAAGCCUGAUCCAGCCAUGCCGCGUGUGUGAAGAAGGUCUUCGGAUUGUAAAGCACUUUAAGUUGGGAGGAAGGGCAGUAAGCUAAUAUCUUGCUGUUUUGACGUUACCAACAGAAUAAGCACCGGCUAACUUCGUGCCAGCAGCCGCGGUAAUACGAAGGGUGCAAGCGUUAAUCGGAAUUACUGGGCGUAAAGCGCGCGUAGGUGGUUCAGCAAGUUGGAUGUGAAAGCCCCGGGCUCAACCUGGGAACUGCAUCCAAAACUACUGAGCUAGAGUACGGUAGAGGGUGGUGGAAUUUCCUGUGUAGCGGUGAAAUGCGUAGAUAUAGGAAGGAACACCAGUGGCGAAGGCGACCACCUGGACUGAUACUGACACUGAGGUGCGAAAGCGUGGGGAGCAAACAGGAUUAGAUACCCUGGUAGUCCACGCCGUAAACGAUGUCGACUAGCCGUUGGGUUCCUUGAGAACUUAGUGGCGCAGCUAACGCGAUAAGUCGACCGCCUGGGGAGUACGGCCGCAAGGUUAAAACUCAAUGAAUUGACGGGGCCCGCACAAGCGGUGGAGCAUGUGGUUUAUUCGAAGCAACGCGAGAACCUUACCUGGCCUGACAUGCUGAGAACUUUCCAG
rnacentral:rRNA from 2 species